GAGUGGACUCCUACGGGAGGCAGCAGUGAGGAAUAUUGGUCAAUGGGCGAGAGCCUGAACCAGCCAAGUCGCGUGAAGGAUGACGGCCCUAUGGGUUGUAAACUUCUUUUGCAGGGGAAUAAAGAUAUUCACGUGUGGGUAGUUGUAUGUACCCUGCGAAUAAGCAUCGGCUAACUCCGUGCCAGCAGCCGCGGUAAUACGGAGGAUGCGAGCGUUAUCCGGAUUUAUUGGGUUUAAAGGGUGCGUAGGUGGGCUAUUAAGUCAGUGGUGAAAGUUUGUCGCUCAACGAUAAAAUUGCCGUUGAAACUGGUGGUCUUGAGUAUGGAUGAAGUAGGCGGAAUGCGUGGUGUAGCGGUGAAAUGCAUAGAGAUCACGCAGAACUCCGAUUGCGAAGGCAGCUUACUAAGGCAUAACUGACACUGAAGCACGAAAGCGUGGGUAUCAAACAGGAUUAGAUACCCUUGUAGUCCGA
rnacentral:rRNA from 1 species